UUGCAUAUCCAAAAAGCUGAGGAAAAGAAACCAACAGGGAUUGCCUUAGUAGCGGCGAGUGAAGCGGCAAAAGCUCAAAUUUGAAAUCUGGCGUAUUCUGCGUCCGAGUUGUAAUUUGAAGAAGGAUACUUUGGGGUUGGCUCUUGUCUAUGUUUCUUGGAACAGAACGUCACAGAGGGUGAGAAUCCCGUGCGAUGAGAAGCCCAAUUCCGUGUAAAGUGCCUUCGAAGAGUCGAGUUGUUUGGGAAUGCAGCUCUAAGUGGGUGGUAAAUUCCAUCUAAAGCUAAAUAUUGGCGAGAGACCGAUAGCGAACAAGUACAGUGAUGGAAAGAUGAAAAGAACUUUGAAAAGAGAGUGAAAAAGUACGUGAAAUUGUUGAAAGGGAAGGGCUUGAGAUCAGACUUGGUAUUUUGUAUGUCUUGCUUUCGGGUGGGGCCUCUGCAGUUUACUGGGCCAGCAUCGGUUCGGGUGGUAGGACAAUUGCGAAGGAACGUGGCACUGCUUCGGUGGUGUGUUAUAGCCUUUGUGGAUACUGCCUGUCUGGACCGAGGACUGCGUCAUUUGACUAGGAUGCUGGCAUAAUGAUCUUAAGUCGCCCGUCUUAAAAACACGAGGAAAACA
rnacentral:rRNA from 1 species